GAUGAACGCUGGCGGCGUGCCUAAUACAUGCAAGUCGAGCGAACAGACGAGGAGCUUGCUCCUCUGACGUUAGCGGCGGACGGGUGAGUAACACGUGGAUAACCUACCUAUAAGACUGGGAUAACUUCGGGAAACCGGAGCUAAUACCGGAUAAUAUAUUGAACCGCAUGGUUCAAUAGUGAAAGACGGUUUUGCUGUCACUUAUAGAUGGAUCCGCGCCGCAUUAGCUAGUUGGUAAGGUAACGGCUUACCAAGGCAACGAUGCGUAGCCGACCUGAGAGAGUGAUCGGCCCCACUGGAACUGAGACGCGGUCCAGACUCCUACGGGAGGCAGCAGUAGGGAAUCUUCCGCAAUGGGCGACAACCUGACGGAGCAACGCCGCGUGAGUGAUGAAGGUCUUCGGAUCGUAAAACUCUGUUAUUAGAGAAGAACAAAUGUGUAAGUAACUAUGCACGUCUUGACGGUACCUAAUCAGAAAGCCACGGCUAACUACGUG
rnacentral:rRNA from 1 species